CUUUAAUUUCCCACCUCAGCUGAGCUCAUAUCCAAGUUGCAAGAAAAAAAAUGAACAAAACCUCCAAGAAAUAUGGGACUAUGUGAAAAGACCACAUCUACGUCUGAUUCGUGUACCUGAAAGUGACAGGGAGAAUGGAACCAAACUCCGUCUCAAAAAAAAAAAAUAAAAUAAAAAUAAAAAUAAAAAUAUCUUGAGGCAAAUGA
rnacentral:lncRNA from 1 species